AGUGAACGCUGGCGGUAGGCCUAACACAUGCAAGUCGAACGGCAGCACAGUAAGAGCUUGCUCUUACGGGUGGCGAGUGGCGGACGGGUGAGGAAUACAUCGGAAUCUACUUUUUCGUGGGGGAUAACGUAGGGAAACUUACGCUAAUACCGCAUACGACCUACGGGUGAAAGCAGGGGAUCUUCGGACCUUGCGCGAUUGAAUGAGCCGAUGUCGGAUUAGCUAGUUGGCGGGGUAAAGGCCCACCAAGGCGACGAUCCGUAGCUGGUCUGAGAGGAUGAUCAGCCACACUGGAACUGAGACACGGUCCAGACUCCUACGGGAGGCAGCAGUGGGGAAUAUUGGACAGUGGGCGCAAGCCUGAUCCAGCCAUACCGCGGGGGUGAAGAAGGCCUUCGGGUUGUAAAGCCCUUUUGUUGGGAAGGAAAAGCAGCAGGUUAAUACCCCGCUGUUCUGACGGUACCCAAAGAAUAAGCACCGGCUAACUUCGU
rnacentral:rRNA from 1 species